UAUUUUUAUGAAACUCUUAUUUUGGAUGGAUCAUAAAUCUGUGGUUCCCUUGACAGUUUUUGCAGAUGAUACUUGUGGGACUCCUCAAAUACUUUUGUUUUGCAUGACUUGCUGCAUAAUGGUAAGUUUUGGAGUUGAAUCAUCUAAUUAUAUAAAACUUAUAUGGGAUUUAUAUUUAGUAAUAUGUGCAAAGACAAAUUGCAAUUACAACCAUUGCAUAUGAUUCAACAAAACUACUUGUAGGUUUCAGUACUUGUACCUGGUAGCAAUCUAGCAGACAUCUCAUUCUACUUUUACAUUGAAGAUCCAUAUACUAGUAUGGCUCAUGUCUCUAAUUUUCUGCUGCAACUUUGAGAACAUUAUUGAUUUUAGAAUACCUCUUAUGUGCAGGAAAACAAGGCAAGCAGCUGCAGUAGCACUUUAAGUUGGUUUCUUUUGGGUUCUUUGUACUUGUUUUAUGUUAAGUGCAUAUUACAUUUUUGCUGCAUUGUUAUUUUCGUUUUGUAUUGUAACUUGGAUACUCACUUUGAUGAGUAGAACUAAGGGUAGAUAUCUUAAUGAAACCAGUAGUAUAUUGUCUCCAAUGUGUUGUGAAAACAAAGAGAUUUGAUUUAUGAAUUUAAUCAAAUGGAGAGUUUAAAUCAAAAGAAUGCAUCACUUAUAUGUAGCUCAAACUCAUUCAUACGAUAGACAAAUGUUGCCUGAAAAUGUCGAAAGCCUAAAAGAUAUCACGUAGUGAAAACUUAAAGCAUAGCAGACGACAGAUACCUAUUGUCUUAAAGAGACCAAAUGAAAAAAGAAAAAAUAUACGUUGCCUGAAGAUCAUUCACCCAAUGCAUAUGUGUCGUUGUACUACGUCUAGACCAUAAACAACAUCAAUAGUAUGUUGUGUGGGUUCAUCCAGCGACACAUAAAUGUAGCAUGAAAAAGUUUAAAUUCUAAUUCACUAAGUAUACGUCGCCUGUAACAUUUUCAAAUGAUGUUUAAAUGUCGUAUUUAAACAAAUUAACCUACACCUAUAUGUUGCUGUAAGACGUAUUUCUCUCUCAUUCGCAGUUAUAAGGCGACACAAAGAGCUGUGUUGCCUCACGGAAAAAAAAAGAUACGUCGCCUUCUAGCAUGUCGUUGUUUAAACUAUCAGGCGACAUAUAUACCGUGUCGUCUUAUCUCAAUUCAGGCGACACAAAAUGAAAAAAGUAUUCUGUCGCCUGAGGUUCUUAUAGGCGACACAACAUUUGUGUCGUCGGAUAACCUCAUCAACGACAUGCUAGAAGGUGACACUUACGAUUUUUAUCAGGCGACACAACUGUUGUGUCGCCUGAUGCAAGAAAUGGCAUAGUGACAUGUUUAGAUUUGAUUAAACUACAAUUUCUGUAUACUACUCAAACCUAACAGUUACACUAAGCAGAGAUGCUAAAAAGCAUGAAUGCAAUUCAUUUGCAACCACUUCAAACUCAAACAUAACAGUUACACUAAGCAAAGAUACUAAAAAAGCAUGAAUGCAAUUCCUUUGCAGCCACUUCAAGUUAUUUCAUAUUAUUCCACAUUUCAAGUUCCCAGUUUUAGUAUUAUCCCGUACAAAUUCCAUACUUGUAUUAAAAACAGAAUCCCUCAAAAUCAGAAAGAUAUUAUUGCUUCAUGGCUUUGACUUAAAUUUCUAUAGAGAAGGCUCAUAACUACUCAUAAACCAACAAUAUACAAGAUUACAAAACUGCAAUAUAUAGUGAUUCUCCACUUACCUAUGUUUUACUUACAAAACAGCUAGUUUUAAUUGUUAGACAUAAGCCUAUGACAGUACAAAACAAAAUUAUUG
rnacentral:lncRNA from 1 species